GCCAGGCAUGGUGGCUCAUGCCUGUAAUCCCAGCACUUUCGGAGGCCGAGGUGGGUGGAUCACCUGAGGUCAGGAGUUUGAGACCAGCCUGGCCAACAUGGUGAAACCCCAUCUCUA
rnacentral:SRP_RNA from 2 species